UUCUUGGUCAUUUAAGAGAAGUAAAAGUCGUAACAAGGUUUCCGUAGGUGAACCUGCGGAAGGAUCAUUACCGAGUGAGGGCCCUCUGGGUCCAACCUCCCACCCGUGUUUAUUUUACCUUGUUGCUUCGGCGGGCCCGCCUUAACUGGCCGCCGGGGGGCUUACGCCCCCGGGCCCGCGCCCGCCGAAGACACCCUCGAACUCUGUCUGAAGAUUGUAGUCUGAGUGAAAAUAUAAAUUAUUUAAAACUUUCAACAACGGAUCUCUUGGUUCCGGCAUCGAUGAAGAACGCAGCGAAAUGCGAUACGUAAUGUGAAUUGCAAAUUCAGUGAAUCAUCGAGUCUUUGAACGCACAUUGCGCCCCCUGGUAUUCCGGGGGGCAUGCCUGUCCGAGCGUCAUUGCUGCCCUCAAGCACGGCUUGUGUGUUGGGCCCCGUCCUCCGACCCCGGGGGACGGGCCCGAAAGGCAGCGGCGGCACCGCGUCCGGUCCUCGAGCGUAUGGGGCUUUGUCACCCGCUCUGUAGGCCCGGCCGGCGCUUGCCGAUCAACCCAAAUUUUUAUCCAGGUUGACCUCGGAUCAGGUAGGGAUACCCGCUGAACUUAAGCAUAUCAAUUUAAAGCGGAAGGAAA
rnacentral:rRNA from 1 species